UCCGUAGCCGGCCUAUUAAGUCUCUUGGGAAAUCUGGCGGCUCAAUCGUCAGGCGUUCAAGAGAUACUGGUAGGCUUGGGACCGGGAGAGGUGGGAGGUACUCCAGGGGUAGGGGUGAAAUCUCGUAAUCCUUGGGGGACCACCGAUGGCGAAGGCAUCCCACCAGAACGGGUCCGACGGUGAGGGACGAAAGCUGGGGGCACGAACCG
rnacentral:rRNA from 1 species